ensembl:lncRNA
ACAGUAGAGACAGUAGAGACAGUAAGAGCAGGAGAGACAGUAAACACGACAGAGACACAGUAGAGACCAGUGGAUUAUUAUCAGGGAGUGACUCAACAUAAAUAAACCUGGACAAACCAGUUGGUCUGGUCGGUACACUUCUUUACCUGCUGCUAGGAGAGAGGAGGAACGUAGAACUACUGAAACCUGACAACAGACAGAGGCCAGGUGAGGGUUUAGGGGGGGACAGGGAGACAGAGAGAGGCCAGGUGAGGGUAUAGGGGAGGACAGAGAGAGAGAGAGAGAGAGAGAGAGGCCAGGUGAGGGUAUAGGGGAGGACAGAGAGAGGCCAGGUGAGGGGAGAGAGACAGAGAGAGAGAGAGAGAGAGGCCAGGUGAGGGUAUAGGGGAGGACAGAGAGAGAGAGAGAGGCCAGGUGAGGGUAUAGGGGAGGACAGAGAGAGAGAGAGAGGCCAGGUGAGGGUAUAGGGGAGGACAGAGAGAGAGAGAGAGGCCAGGUGAGGGUAUAGGGGAGGACAGAGAGAGAGAGAGAGAGGCCAGGUGAGGGUAUAGGGGAGGACAGAGAGAGAGGCCAGGUGAGGGUAUAGGGGAGGACAGAGAGAGGCCAGGUGAGGGUAUAGGGGAGGACAGAGGAGUAAAUACAGGUCACCUUUGUA